GACGAACGCUGGCGGCGUGCUUAACACAUGCAAGUCGAACGGAGAGGCCCUGCUUUUGUGGGGUGCUCGAGUGGCGAACGGGUGAGUAACACGUGAGUAACCUGCCCUUGACUUUGGGAUAACUUCAGGAAACUGGGGCUAAUACCGGAUAGGAGCUCCUGCUGCAUGGUGGGGGUUGGAAAGUUUCGGCGGUUGGGGAUGGACUCGCGGCUUAUCAGCUUGUUGGUGGGGUAGUGGCUUACCAAGGCUUUGACGGGUAGCCGGCCUGAGAGGGUGACCGGGCACAUUGGGCCUGAGGUACGGCCCAGACUCCUACGGGAGGCAGCAGUGGGGAACAUUGCACAGUGGGCGGAAGCGUGAUGCAGAAACGCCGCGUGCGGGAUGACGGCCUACGGGUUGUAAACCGAUUUCGCCUGUGCCGAAGAGUGAGUGACGGUAAUGGGUAAAGAAGCAACGGCUAACUACGUG
rnacentral:rRNA from 1 species